CCUACGGGGGGCAGCAGUGGGGAAUAUUGCACAAUGGGGGAAACCCUGAUGCAGCGACGCCGCGUGAGCGAAGAAGUAUCUCGGUUUGUAAAGCUCUAUCAGCAGGGAAGAAAAUGACGGUACCUGACUAAGAAGCCCCGGCUAACUACGUGCCAGCAGCCGCGGUAAUACGUAGGGGGCAAGCGUUAUCCGGAUUUACUGGGUGUAAAGGGAGCGCAGGCGGCGCGGUAAGUCUGAUGUGAAAGCCCGGGGCUUAACCCAGGGACUGCAUUGGAAACUGUCGUGCUGGAGUGUCGGAGGGGUAAGUGGAAUUCCUGGUGUAGCGGUGAAAUGCGUAGAGAUUAGGAGGAACACCAGUGGCGAAGGCGGCCUGCUGGACGACAACUGACGCUGAGGCUCGAAAGCGUGGGGAGCAAACAGGAUUAGAUACCCGUGUAGUC
rnacentral:rRNA from 1 species